AACGAACGCUGGCGGCAUGCCUAACACAUGCAAGUCGAACGAGACCUUCGGGUCUAGUGGCGCACGGGUGCGUAACGCGUGGGAACCUGCCCUUAGGUUCGGAAUAACUCCCCGAAAGGGGUGCUAAUACCGGAUAAUGUCUUCGGAUCAAAGAUUUAUCGCCGUUGGAUGGGCCCGCGUUGGAUUAGCUAGUUGGUAGGGUAAAAGCCUACCAAGGCGACGAUCCAUAGCUGGUCUGAGAGGAUGAUCAGCCACACUGGGACUGAGACACGGCCCAGACUCCUACGGGAGGCAGCAGUGGGGAAUAUUGGACAAUGGGCGAAAGCCUGAUCCAGCAAUGCCGCGUGAGUGAUGAAGGCCUUAGGGUUGUAAAGCUCUUUUACCCGGGAUGAUAAUGACAGUACCGGGAGAAUAAGCUCCGGCUAACUCCGUG
rnacentral:rRNA from 1 species